UCUCGAUCCUUCCACUGACUUCACCAAGUCAGAUCAGGGUGGACUAAAAACAAGUCGGUCCAACUGGCAAGUCAUCAAUCCUCCCACUAGCUUCACCAAGUCAUAUCGAGAAUAAAGACAAGUCAAACUAGGGGCAUCUAAAUCAAUCGAACUAAUUUUUUAGUAAGCAUGGGUCAACCGUAAUCAUUAAGCGAUCUGAUCAAAACUUGAUUCCCUAUGUUGGCC
rnacentral:lncRNA from 1 species